AUGUUUUCCUUCAUAUGUUACGUUUCUCUUCUUCCAAUGUUAACUUUAAUUCAAAAAUUCUACAACAUCCUCUCUUUCUCUCUCUCUCUCUCCUCUUUCUUCUGCUCUCUUUCUUCCAUCUACCUGUUCCUUUUUCUCUUCUUCUUCCUUCUUUCUCUUUUAUUAUCUGAAACGAUAAUGGUGUCCGAAUCGAUUUACGAUGCACGAAUCUGUUUUAUUGAGAUUUUAGGGUUUCAAACUGUGCGAAUCAGUUAG